rnacentral:rRNA from 1 species
UACGAAGGGGGCUAGCGUUGUUCGGAAUCACUGGGCGUAAAGGGCGCGUAGGCGGCUUUAUAAGUUGGGGGUGAAAGCCUGUGGCUCAACCACAGAAUUGCCUUCGAUACUGUAUGGCUUGAGACCGGAAGAGGUAAGUGGAACUGCGAGUGUAGAGGUGAAAUUCGUAGAUAUUCGCAAGAACACCAGUGGCGAAGGCGGCUUACUGGUCCGGUUCUGACGCUGAGGCGCGAAAGCGUGGGGAGCAAACAGG